GCCGCCUCGCAUUGCUUCUCCAUCCAGACAAGAACAAGUUCCCUUUCGCGGAUCAAGCGUUUAAGCUCGUCGCGGACGCUUGGGCCGUCUUAUCGGAUCCCGCUAAAAAGUCACUCUACGACAACGAAUUGAGCUUGUUUUCUAGGAUUGAUUUAUCGAAUUCGGAAAAAUUGCCUGUUCGAAGGAGCCAGCGCCCGGUCGCGAAGAAACAUGCAGGCGAGAGUAUUAAAACUAACAUUAGUAAUAGCUCCGAGGAUCGGAGUCAGAGGAUGAAGCUAUCGUCGUUUUGGACUGCUUGUCCUUACUGUUAUAUUUUAUACGAAUAUCCUCGGGUUUAUCAGGAUUGCUGU
rnacentral:misc_RNA from 1 species